ensembl:lncRNA
AUGCCAUUGUCCAAGAGGUGGGCGAUUCGUGGUAUACUAUUAAAGUGGAUGGGACGGGACGCCACUGGAUGUGAGAACAUAUCUAUGGUUAUUCGCUUCGUGUCUGCAUUACAUGAAACAACAGAACGUCUUCUCACAGUAGCUACAGCAGAUGCCGGAGAUGUCAACACACUGACAAACAAAAUUAUAGAAGAACUGGCAAAAGCCAGACUAAACACGUCACAAAUUUUAAGUCAGGUGUAUGAUGGAGCUUCUGUUAUGGCUGGAAAGAAUGGCGGUGUGCAGAAACUACUCCAAGAAAAGCUGGGCCGAGAAAUCCCAUAUGUCCAUUGCAUGAACCAUCAGCUGCACCUGGUGGUUGUGAACACUUUGACAGCAGAGAAAGCAGUCACUGAUUUUUUUGAUGUAUGUUGCACCCUGUACAGAUUCUUUCGGAAGCCAACUGUUUCGGCGCAGUACAAAGGUGAGCGAUUAAAGCGACUUCUUGAGCAGAGAUGGACAGGACAUUUAUCAACAGUAUCUGCGAUCAUUAAGUCUUACGAGGAGAUCAUUUCUUUGCUUUCGGAGAUCGACGCAGAGCGCAGAUAUGGUGCUGAGGUGAGGAUGGAGGCCAUUGGGCUUUUGAGGGAAAUUUCUCAGCCUGCGUUUAUGUUCAUCGCACACUUUGUAAAGACAGUGUUGAUGUUGCUGGAUGGCCCUAACAAGCUUUUGCAAAGUGAGGACAUGGACCUGUUGACUGGGUUGGAACUGGUCGCGAGUGCCACUAAGUGUGUGAUUGAACUCCGCUGUGAGGCCAAGUUCAAAGAGCUGUGGGAUGCGGUCACCGAUUUGGAUGUUAAUUCCGCACCUUCAAAACGGCAGCGCACAGUAAAUAAGAAUUUACACCAGUAUUUCGUUGAAGAAACAACAGGACAAAAGGACAAUGACAAACCAGAGCUACGAAGGCUUUAUUACAGUGCACUUGACACACUUCUAGGAGAAAUCAACCAUCGCUUCGGUGAGCGCAACACACAGCUUGCGCAAUCGCUGAUUGCUUUGAACCCAGAAAGCGAUCAAUUUUUGAAUCUGAAGUUACUUCAGUACAUCAUGUCAUUAACAAAAUCAACCAUCGUUGAGACAGAAUGUAUUGUUGCUAAACAGUUUAUUUCUACACAAGUAAACAAAGAAGUAAACGCGAAAUUGACAACACAAAAUCUCCUUUCAAAGUACCACAAAACAUUAGAAGCAAUGCCAAGUGUACUGACAGCUUUGAAGACCGGAUUGACGCUUGGUGCUUCAAUCGCAAUGUGUGAAAAUUCAUUUUCAGUUUUGAGGAAUGUAUUCACCGACCACAGACGUUCUAUGCGCCACACACGCAAGGCCCAGCUCAUUCAGCUGGCAUUUGAGAAGGAUCUCACACGCAAGUGUCAACAUGAAUGGAAAGAUAACAUUCUUCGGAGAUUUCACUCGGAGACCCGCCGCCUUCAACUAUUUUGA